rnacentral:rRNA from 1 species
GACGCACGCUGGCGGCGUGCUUAACACAUGCAAGUCGAGCGGAGCGGCGAACGGGUGAGUAACGCGUGAGUAACUGCCCCCCUCUCUGGGAUAACAGUUGGAAACGGCUGCUAAUCACGGAUAGUGGGGGAUGACUCGCGUCCUAUCAGCUUGUUGGUGUGGUAGUGGCCUCCCGAGGCGACGACGGGUAGCCGGCCUUAGAGGGCGACCGGGCACAAUGGGCUACGAGACGGCCCAAACGCCGACGGGAGGCAGCAGUGGGGAAUAUUGCGCAAUGGGGGAAACCCUGAUGCAGCAACGCGCGGGCGGGAUGACGGCCUGCGGGUUGUAAACCGCUUUCAGCCAUGACGCGGUAGGGGCAGAAGAAGCACCGGCUAACUACGUGCCAGCAGCCGCGGUAAUUC